rnacentral:rRNA from 1 species
UACGAAGGGGGCUAGCGUCGCUCGGAAUUACUGGGCGUAAAGCGCACGUAGGCGGAUUGUUAAGUCGGGGGUGAAAUCCUGGAGCUCAACUCCAGAACUGCCUUCGAUACUGGCGAUCUCGAGUUCGGGAGAGGUGAGUGGAACUGCGAGUGUAGAGGUGAAAUUCGUAGAUAUUCGCAAGAACACCAGUGGCGAAGGCGGCUCACUGGCCCGAUACUGACGCUGAGGUGCGAAAGCGUGGGGAGCAAACAGG